GACGAACGCUGGCGGUGUGCUUAACACAUGCAAGUCGAACGGUAAGGCCCUUUCGGGGGUACACGAGUGGCGAACGGGUGAGUAACACGUGAGUAACCUGCCCUCAUCUCUGGGAUAACAGUCGGAAACGGUUGCUAAUACUGGAUAUGAGCCUGCAAGGCAUCUUGUGGGUUGGAAAGAUUUUUUGGUUGGGGAUGGACUCGCGGCCUAUCAGCUUGUUGGUGAGGUAGUGGCUCACCAAGGCUUCGACGGGUAGCCGGCCUGAGAGGGCGACCGGCCACAUUGGGACUGAGAUACGGCCCAAACUCCUACGGGAGGCAGCAGUGGGGAAUAUUGCACAAUGGACGGAAGUCUGAUGCAGCAACGCCGCGUGCGGGAUGACGGCCUUCGGGUUGUAAACCGCUUUCAAUUGUGACGAAGCUUUUUGUGACGGUAGCAGUAGAAGAAGCACCGGCUAACUACGU
rnacentral:rRNA from 1 species